AACGAACGCUGGCGGCAUGCCUAACACAUGCAAGUCGAACGAGACCUUCGGGUCUAGUGGCGCACGGGUGCGUAACGCGUGGGAACCUGCCCUUAGGUUCGGAAUAACUCCCCGAAAGGGGUGCUAAUACCGGAUAAUGUCUUCGGACCAAAGAUUUAUCGCCUUUGGAUGGGCCCGCGUUGGAUUAGCUUGUUGGUAGGGUAAAAGCCUACCAAGGCGACGAUCCAUAGCUGGUUUGAGAGGAUGAUCAGCCACACUGGGACUGAGACACGGCCCAGACUCCUACGGGAGGCAGCAGUGGGGAAUAUUGGACAAUGGGCGAAGGCAUGAACCAGCAAUGCCGCGUGAGUGAUGAAGGCCUUAGGGUUGUAAAGCUCUUUUACCCGGGAUGAUAAUGACAGUACCGGGAGAAUAAGCUCCGGCUAACUCCGUG
rnacentral:rRNA from 1 species